rnacentral:rRNA from 1 species
CGGGGCAGGGUGAGGCGACCCCUAAGGCGAGGCCGAAAGGCGUAGUCGAUGGGAAUCAGGUUAAUAUUCCUGUACUUGGUGGUACUGCGAAGGGGGGACGGAGAAGGCUAUGUUAGCCGGGCGACGGUUGUCGCGGUUUAAGCAUGUAGGCUGGUUAUCCAGGCAAAUCCGGAUAAUCAAGGCUGAGGUGUGAUGACGAGGCACUACGGAGCUGAAGUAACAAAUGCCCUGCUUCCAGGAAAAGCCUCUAAGCAUCAGGUAACAUCAAAUCGUACCCCAAACCG